CCUCCUCACCAGGGCUGGCUUUGUGGUCUGUUUUGCCUGAGGAAUGACUCAGCAAUGAUGUAUAGUCCUUUUUUUUUAAAUUAACUCUUUCAGUGCUGGGCAGUCAAGCCAGGGCCUUACACUCACUACAGAGAUGCUUGGUGCUGAGCUACAAUGCCUGGCCCUGACAUGGGGAACUUCUAAGAGGACGUUUUCAAAGGACCAGUUUUGUUGAAGUAUGACUAACAGAUAAAAAACGUGUUUGUCUAAGCCGUCCUCACCAAUAAUGCUUGUAAGAAACAAUUGCUCACCUUUCAGACAUGAAUGUCUCCUCCUCUGCGUGCCUUCGCCUUGAUUAGAAGCAGCUGGCUUACACGGUUUGGCAAUGG